GAAAAGUAGGCGAGAGGAAUUCGUACCGAAAAUGAGUUUGAAUCCGCAGUACGACACGAUAGGUAGAUCGUUCGUGCAUCAGUACUACUUACUUUUCGACGAUGCCGCUCAGAGGGCGAACCUGGCCAACUUCUAUAACGUAAGAAUUUAGGCUUAAGUUUCAAAUUCGAAAAGAAAAUUCUGCAAGUAUAAAUUCAAUCUUUCGUCUCUACGUAUCGAAAAGAUCCGCUCCACUAGGCUAGUUACCUUGCCGAACUCUUAAAAUCUUUUCUUGGAUUUAAUACGUGAAAAGAAGUUCUAUUUGGAGUGGCAAAAAGAAAAUAGUUUGCAAAAAGAUUGACUGAAGAAGUAAUAUAUCUCCAUUGCCAUAUAUGUAAUAAGUUGUGCCUUUUAUACACAUUGUGGUAUAGGCCAAAAAUCAUGCCUUUAGUCACCUUAAGCAGCAGACACAGGAUAUACUAAAUGUAUUUACAACAUUGAAAAAGUUUGAGUACAAAAAUGUCAUUAUUUUAUUGUAACUCAGUUCAAUUUUUACUAAAAUCAUUAUUUUUUAAAAAUGUAGAUAAAUUAUGUAUAAAAUAAAAUUAUUAACAUUUACAUACUAUUCUUCGGAGCACGACCCCAUUUUUUUAAAAUUGAAAAAGUUCACCUCUGACAAUGGUAACAUAACAAAGUUUAUAAAUUUAUUUUAAUGUUAUGCAUUUGACAUUAAACAGUGAAGUGACUAAACAGCCAUCAUUGAGACAUUUUUAUAUAAAUGAUGUUUUUCAUGAUUGUAUUGAAAAAGUUCUUUAAUGAAAAUAAACUAUUUAGUGAAAAAAUUGUGUUAGAUUUUACAUUAAAGUGUGAUAGAUUAUUUAAAUAUAUAAGUGAAAUAGAUUAUUCUUUAGCAAACAAAAGUAUUUUACUAGCUAGUUUUUAAAAUCAUGCCUUAAACACUUCAAGAAAUAUUAAAUAUAACAAUACAGUAAUAAUUUAUGGUUUACAUUUUCAAAACUCCUUAGGUA